rnacentral:rRNA from 1 species
CGAGCAUCCGGUUGUGUUAGUCUCAUGUUAAAUCUCACUGCUCAACGGUGAGGCCGCGUGGGAAACGGCACGACUAGAGUGGGUAAGAGGCACACGGAACGUGCAGUGUAGGGGUGGAAAUCCAUUGAUAUUGCACGGAACACCAAAAGCGAAGGCAGUGUGCUAGUGCUCUACUGACGGUCAAUCGCGAAAGUGUGGGGAUCAAAAA